rnacentral:rRNA from 1 species
CCUACGGGAGGCUGCAGUGGGGAAUAUUGGACAAUGGGGGCAACCCUGAUCCAGCCAUGCCGCGUGUGUGAAGAAUGCCCUCGGGUUGUAAAGCACUUUCAGUGAGGAAGAACGCCUGGUGGUUAAUACCCAUCAGGAAAGACAUCACUCACAGAAGAAGCACCGGCUAACUCCGUGCCAGCAGCCGCGGUAAUACGGAGGGUGCGAGCGUUAAUCGGAAUUACUGGGCGUAAAGCGCGCGUAGGUGGCUUGAUAAGCCGGUUGUGAAAGCCCCGGGCUCAACCUGGGAACGGCAUCCGGAACUGUCAAGCUAGAGUGCAGGAGAGGAAGGUAGAAUUCCCGGUGUAGCGGUGAAAUGCGUAGAGAUCGGGAGGAAUACCAGUGGCGAAGGCGGCCUUCUGGACUGACACUGACACUGAGGUGCGAAAGCGUGGGUAGCAAACAGGAUUAGAUACCCUGGUAGUC